UGUUAGCGCGCAUGCUCAGUGCCGGCCGGGCCGCUGUUUGCGGCUGGCAGCUGCCCGCUCCGCGCCCAUGGAGGGGAGCCUGGUCCGCGCCUUCGAGGCCCUGAGCCUGCAGCCCCUGGCCCGGGCGCAGCCCCGCAGGCGCCGCUUCAGCAAACGCCUCUACCUGCUGCGCGGCCUGCCCGGCUCCGGGAAAACCACGCGGGCCAGACAACUGAAACGUGAAUUUCCUGGUGCUGUUAUUCUUAGCACUGAUGACUUUUUCUUCACGGAAGAUGGCACCUAUGUGUUCAGACAUGAUUGUCUAGAAGAAGCACACUUAUGGAACCAAAAGAGAGCACAUAAAGCAAUGAAGAAUGGGAAAUCCCCAGUUGUUAUUGAUAAUACCAACAUCCACGCUUGGGAAAUGAAGCCAUAUGUGAUUAUGGCACGUGAGAAUAACUAUGAAGUUAUAUUCCAAGAACCUGACACACACUGGAAAUUCAAUGUUCGAGAGUUAGCAAGAAGAAACAGUCAUGGUGUCCCGAGAGAAAAGAUACAGCGCAUGAAAGACCAGUAUGAGCAUGACAUUACCUUUCAUAUCGUGCUUCACUCUGAAAAACCAAGCAGAGAUGGCAGAAAUUCCAGUGGAUCCAAUGCCGCUCGCAACACUGGGGCUUAUUCCAAUAUGUGUCCAACAUUCCCAAACAGAAGAACACACAGCCGCUAUACAAAUGAAAGAUCAUUUAAUAGAGGUGGAUUCCAGAAUGUAUUUUAGUAUUUCACUAGGGUAUAAAAGACUAAAAAAAAUUUAACCUUUUACUCUCAAUUUUUGUAUUUUUCUACUAAAUCUAAAUCAGGAGUUAUUUCUGUUAAUUUACAAGUCUUAAAAUAUUACUGUAAUGUUGUUUUGUCAAUUACACAAUCUGAGAUCACUGAAACCAAUAUAAACUGUACACACCAUCUCUGUCCCAGUACACUCAGUGUUUGCCAAUUUUCCUUGUUCAGUCAUGUCUUAACCUUCAAUUAUAAAUUUUGCAGGGUAGGGAUGUGGUUUGUCUCUUGCCUGCAAAUGGUCAUGAACAUUUCUGGUGCAGUGUAAUUAUUUCUUCCUGUCUUCCAGGCACAUUCUCUCUCCUUCUCCCCUCAUAUGCAGUCUCUCACUAAUGCCAAUCACUUCUUUCUCCUUAAUAGUUCCAAAAUCCACCCUUUCUUCAUGGUCGCUGUUGCCAAGACACUUGUCCACGUUGUAGUCUUUUUUAGCUUCUCUACUUUCUCCUGCCUGGCCUCAGUGCUUCUCACCUCUUCCCACCUCAGCUUGACCAGUGUAAACUUUCAAUUCUUCCAUUGGUUUCCUGUCUUCUUACAGGAAAUUCACCUUACAAGACUCUACAUAAGGUAGUCAAGCAGAAGAAAUCUAAAAAACUUUAUCUACCAGAUCCGCAGCAGAUUGAAGGAGGGUGAGAUUGAAAUACAGAUAGGGACCACACAUCUCAAAGAACUUCCAGUUACAGUUCUAGGUGAUCUCUUCAUCCAACAACUACUAGUAGUAGAUACACUACCAAGAAAACAUGUGUGUUCUACCUGUUUGAGGGUCU